AGUCUUUAACUGAAGGGCACUGACUGGGUCACUGGUGAAGUUCCCCGCAGGAACUGAGUCAGACCCCAUCUCAGGGCCCUGCACAAGAUAGGUGCCUGCUCUAAGGCGUGGACCCUCGCCACAGCCCUGGCCCGUCUUGACGGGCGAGGGUUACUGUACUUGUCCCAACCGUACAGAUGAGAAAGCUGAGACUCAGGGCCAGCAACCCGGGUCCCAGCGGAGCGCCCGGCACACGCCGACACUUCAGCACCAGUGGCGGUGGCCACCACUGUGGGCGGAGAUGGCUGCGACGCGUGCGCAGUCUAGUGCUUUUUUCCAGAUCUCGAUCCCAAACUCCCUCCUGCCAGAAUCUGGACCCGAAUCCACCCAUUGCCCGUUUUCCGCUGCCGCUGGAGAGAAUCUCUGAGGUCCCCAGGAGAGCCUGCCUGCACGGAAGAGACGCCUCCUCGAUUAAAUGCUGUUUUCCAUGACCGUCUCUGUUCUUCCCAUACGGGAAUGGCAGGCAUUCAGAUCUCCAAGAAUAGAGGAUUAGGAGAGACUCCACCACCUAUGUCCUCACAGUUAAUUAUCGAUUUGUGUCAGUUGCCCAUUUUCUCACUUCCUGUUUGUGUGUCAAGGGGUAUUAAUAAAUCUUUGCCUAUUUAAAGAUA
rnacentral:lncRNA from 1 species